UACGAAGGGGGCUAGCGUUACUCGGAUUGACUGGGCGUAAAGGGCGCGUAGGCGGUUCGUACAGUCAGACGUGAAAUUCCUGGGCUCAACCUGGGGGCUGCGUUUGAUACGUGCGGGCUUGAGUUCGGAAGAGGGUCGUGGAAUUCCCAGUGUAGAGGUGAAAUUCGUAGAUAUUGGGAAGAACACCGGUGGCGAAGGCGGCGACCUGGUCCGAUACUGACGCUGAGGCGCGAAAGCGUGGGGAGCAAACAGG
rnacentral:rRNA from 1 species